UGGCUCAGAACGAACGCUGGCGGCAGGCCUAACACAUGCAAGUCGAGCGCCCAGCAAUGGGAGCGGCGCACGGGUGAGUAACACGUGGGAACGUGCCCUAUGGUUCGGAAUAACUCAGGGAAACUUGAGCUAAUACCGGAUAAGCCCUACGGGGGAAAGAUUUAUCGCCAUUGGAGCGGCCCGCGUUGGAUUAGCUAGUUGGUUGUUUAAAAGCCUACCAGGGAAAAGAUCCAUAGCUGGUUUGAGAGAACGACCAGCCACAUNGGUCCNGUGACACAUGACUGACUCCUACGG
rnacentral:rRNA from 1 species